AUUGAACGCUGGCGGCAUGCUUUACACAUGCAAGUCGAACGGCAGCACGGGGGCAACCCUGGUGGCGAGUGGCGAACGGGUGAGUAAUGCAUCGGAACGUGUCCUUAAGUGGGGAAUAACGCAUCGAAAGAUGUGCUAAUACCGCAUAAACUCUGAGGAGAAAAGCAGGGGAUCGCAAGGCCUUGCGCUAAAGGAGCGGCCGAUGUCUGAUUAGCUAGUUGGUGGGGUAAAGGCCUACCAAGGCGACGAUCAGUAGUUGGUCUGAGAGGACGACCAACCACACUGGGACUGAGACACGGCCCAGACUCCUACGGGAGGCAGCAGUGGGGAAUUUUGGACAAUGGGCGAAAGCCUGAUCCAGCCAUGCCGCGUGAGUGAAGAAGGC
rnacentral:rRNA from 1 species